rnacentral:rRNA from 1 species
UCUGUGAUGCCCUUAGAUGUUCUCCGGCCGCACGCGCGCUACACUGAAGGAAUCAGCGUGUUUCCAUUCCUGAUCCGUAAGGACCGGGUAACCCGUUGAACCUCCUUCGUGCUAGGGAUUGGGGCUUGCAAUUAUUCCCCAUGAACGAGGAAUUCCCAGUAAGCGCGAGUCAUAAGCUCGCGUUGAUUACGUCCCUGCCCUUUGUACACACCGC